GACGAACGCUGGCGGCGUGCUUAACACAUGCAAGUCGAACGGAAAGGCCCUGCUUUUGUGGGGUGCUCGUUUGGCGAACGGGUGAGUAACACGUGAGUAACCUGCCCUCGACUUUGUGAUAACUUCAGGAAACUGGGGCUAAUACCGGAUAGGAGCUCCUGCUGCAUGGUGUGGGUUGGAGAGUUUCGGCGGUGGGGGCUGGACUCGCAGCUUAUCCGCUUGUUGGUGGGGUAGUGGCUUACCACGGUUUUGACGGGUAGCCGGCCUGAGAGGGUGACCGGCCACAUUGGGACUGCGAUACGGCCCAGACUCGUACGGGAGGCAGCAGUGGGGAAUAUUGCAGAAUAGGCGGAAGCCUGAUGCAGCAACGCCGCGUGCGGGAUGACGGCCUUCGGGUUGUAAACCGAUUUCGCCUGUGACGAGGCGUGCGUGACGGUAAUGAGUAAAAAAGCACCGGCUAACUACGUG
rnacentral:rRNA from 1 species